GAACUCAUUUAUUAGGACAAAGAACAAACCUCGAGAGCUCUGUAGACCCCCGAGGUCUCAACCACUGUUUAUAUAGAGGGGACGGGGGAUAACACGAGUACCCAUCACAUGAUACCAUGGCAACAUACCGUAUAUAGAGAGGAGACGGGGUGUAACACGAGUACCCAUCACAUGAUACCAUGGCAACAUACCGUAUAUAGAGACGAGGCGGGGCGUAACACAGGUACCAUCACAUGAUACCAAAGCAACAUACCAUAUAUAAAGAGAGGAGGCGAGGCGUAACACGAGUACCCAUCACAUGAUACCAUGGCAACAUACCGUAUAUAGAGAGGAGACGGGGUGUAACACGAGUACCAUCACAUGAUACCAUGGCAACAUACCAUAUAUAAAGAGAGGAGGCGGGGUGUAACACGAGUACCCAUCACAUGAUACCAUGGCAACAUACUGUAUAUAGAGACGAGGCGGGCGUAACACAGGUACCAUCACAUGAUACCAUGGCAACAUACCAUAUAUAAAGAGAGGAGGCGAGGCGUAACACGAGUACCCAUCACAUGAUACCAUGGCAACAUACCAUAUAUAAAGAGAGGAGGCGAGGCGUAACACGAGUACCCCUCACAUGAUACCAUGGCAACAUACCAUAUAUAAAGAGAGGAGGCGAGGUGUAACACGAGUACCCAUCACAUGAUACCAUGGCAACAUACCGUAUAUAGAGAGGAGACGGGGCGUAACACGAGUACCCAUCACAUGAUACCAUGGCAACAUACCAUAUAUAGAAACGAGGCGGGGCGUAACACAGGUACUAUCACAUGAUACCAUGGCAACAUACCAUAUAUAAAGAGAGGAGGCGAGACGUAACACGAGUACCCCUCACAUGAUACCAUGGCAACAUACCAUAUAUAGAGACGAGGCGGGGCGUAACACGAGUACCCAUCACAUGAUACCAUGGCAACAUACCAUAUAUAAAGAGAGGAGGCGAGGCGUAACACGAGUACCCAUCACAUGAUACCAUGGCAACAUACCGUAUAUAGAGAGGAGACGGGGUGUAACACGAGUACCCAUCACAUGAUACCAUGGCAACAUACCGUAUAUAGGGAGGAGACGGGGUGUAACACGAGUACCCAUCACAUGAUACCAUGGCAACAUACCAUAUAUAGAGACGAGGCGGGGCGUAACACAGGUACCAUCACAUGAUACCAUGGCAACAUACCAUAUAUAGAGACGAGGCGGGGCGUAACACAGGUACCAUCACAUGAUACCAUGGCAACAUACCAUAUAUAGAGACGAGGCGGGGCGUAACACGAGUACCCAUCACAUGAUACCAUGGCAACAUACCAUAUAUAAAGAGAGGAGGCGAGGCGUAACACGAGUACCCAUCACAUGAUACCAUGGCAACAUACCGUAUAUAGAGAGGAGACGGGGUGUAACACAGGUACCAUCACAUGAUCCCACGGCAAUAUACCGUAUAUAGAGAGGAGGCGAGGCAUAACACAGGUACCAUCACAUGAUACCACGGCAACAUACUGUAUAUAGAGAGAUGGGGGGUAACACGGGUACUCGUCACGUGAUACCAUGGCAACAUAUCGUAUAUAGACAGGGGGAGGGGCAUAACACAGAUAGAUGACAUGUACUCGCCACAUGAUACCGUGGCAAUGUACUCACACAAAUGGCAGUAAAAUUGCUGCCAUGAGC